UGGGUGGAGCUAUAUCAUACAGAGGUGGCUGGACAGCCCGGGGUGCACUUUUCCCAGAAGUAACUGCCAGACGUUCAAGUGUGAAAACCUUCAGCUGACUUCAGCUGGCACGAACAGUUCUCCUUCACCCGAGCAAAUCCGACGGACCUCACUACAGACUGGGCUGUGGCGUAUUUUUCAUAGACAGCCCCCUCCCCCUUUGGCUGCAGCUUCAGCAGUGCUUGAGUUUGGUGCAACCAACCCAUGGAUGAGGCUUCUUGGGGGAAGCUGUGACCCUGGAAGAGGCAGGGAGGGAGAAGGCUGCGGUGACUCAUGCUUCCAACUGGACUGGCUCAUCAAGUCUGUUUUUGGCAGUUACCAGUGAACCAAGCACCGGUGGGCCUUCCAAGUGAAGAGACCCACGUGCUUUUGUUUGUUUGUCUUCCGUGGACAGAGUUUGGUCUCAGUCUCACUUUGGAUGUUCAAGUUGAGGUCCCAGGGGGAUUUAUUUCUAUACCUCCAAACCAUUCCUCAUGAUGAAAAGAUGGGAAUGAGACACGAUCUUCCCCAGGAACAUAAAGAAAGACUCUAAGGCUUUGAGUGGUUCUUCUGUGAUGCAGAUCCCCCAUCAACUACUAUGUCAGCAAAGAUAACUCACUGAACUGCUGGCUUCAUCUUCAUCCAUCAAAACAGGAGAUUGGUCUACGCCUCCACUUUCUUAAGCGGGAUACAGAGUAAGGAAAGCUCUGAACUCUCAGAAGGCACUUCCCAUGUGCCGGGCGUUGUUAAAAGCACUUGGCCAGUACUAUAUUGCCAUUUGGUUCCCUCAAUGUAUGGACAAGUUUCCCGUAUGACAGUGGGGAAACUGAGGCACAGCAAGGGUAAACAACUUCAAGAUUAUACAGCAAGAAUACCAUGGUGCCAAGUAUCUCCACAGGCAGGAAGUAAGGCGAUCGAAGAGCUUAUUCCCAUAGUUAUUACAGUAACAUCUUUGUGUCUCUAUCCCAAAAGCCACAAGCUUUGGUGUUAUGCUGAGACAUUUCUAAGCACCAGGAUAUACAAACACUAAAUUGAGUAUGUGUCCUUGCUCUGAAGAUAUGUGAACGGCCUAUCCACCUGUGCAGCACCCACACGAGCGUCAUGCUUGAUGCUAUAAGCAGCUCCCUAUGAGCCACCAACCUCUGAGACCAGGUGAAGAAGCGGUAUAGUGUGUGUGGUGCAGCUGUCUGGCUCCCUUGGUGACAGUGGAGACAAACGGCAACGUUCAGAGAGGCAAAGCAACAGAGAAUGAGGGAUGCUGAUGGAGAGAGGCUGUAUGCCCACCGUUUCCCAAAGUACACAUGUACUUAGAAGAGCAUCAGACUAAAACGGAGGGGCGUCUCGAGUUUUCAUGCUAUCACCGAGAUCAUCCCAAUAACCAUGCCGUGCUUAUGAAGGCCGGUUACCAUCCCAUCCUGCCUGGUUGUGCCUCCAAUCAGCGUUAAUUUAAACCACAAAGCUGUCAUUCUCUAUUAACUGGGUGGGAGCCGGGACACAUCUUGGAUCUGUCAGCCUCAUUUUCUCAGUGAUUAAACACAUUCUAUUUUUUCCAAGUAUUACCCUUUCCAAUAAAGUCUUAGCCAUUUCUUUUGA